UACGGAGGGAGCUAGCGUUGUUCGGAAUUACUGGGCGUAAAGCGCACGUAGGCGGCUUUGUAAGUUAGAGGUGAAAGCCCGGGGCUCAACUCCGGAACUGCCUUUAAGACUGCAUCGCUUGAAUCCAGGAGAGGUGAGUGGAAUUCCGAGUGUAGAGAUGAAAUUCGUAGAUAUUCGGAAGAACACCAGUGGCGAAGGCGGCUCACUGGACUGGUAUUGACGCUGAGGUGCGAAAGCGUGGGGAGCAAACAGG
rnacentral:rRNA from 1 species